UGGGGAAUCUUGCGCAAUGGCCGAAAGGCUGGCGCAGCGACGCCGCGUGUGGGAUGACGGUCUUCGGAUUGUAAACCACUGUCGGGAGGGACGAAGUUCUGACGGUACCUCCAAAGGAAGCACCGGCUAACUCUGUGCCAGCAGCCGCGGUAAUACAGAGGGUGCGAGCGUUGUCCGGAAUCACUGGGCGUAAAGGGCGCGUAGGCGGCCUGGUAAGUCGGGGGUGAAACGCUGCGGCUCAACCGCAGCACUGCCUUCGAGACUGUCAGGCUGGAGGACGGUAGAGGCUGGUGGAAUUCCCGGUGUAGCGGUGGAAUGCGUAGAGAUCGGGAAGAACAGCGGUGGCGAAGGCGGCCAGCUGGGCCGUUGCUGACGCUGAGGCGCGACAGCGUGGGGAGCAAACA
rnacentral:rRNA from 1 species